GACGAACGCUGGCGGCGCGCUUAACACAUGCAAGUCGAACGGAAAGGCCUGCUUUCCCUUGUGGAUUGCGGGUACUCGAGUGGCGAACGGGUGAGUAACACGUGAGUGAUCUGCCCCCAACUUGGGUAUAAGCCUGGGAAACUGGGUCUAAUUCCCGAUAGGACUGCAGGGUUGUGCCUGUGGUGGAAAACGAUUUUCUAGUGGUUGGGGAUGAGCUCGCGGCCUAUCAGCUUGUUGGUGGGGUAAUGGCCUACCAAGGCGGCGACGGGUAGCCGGCCUGAGAGGGUGGACGGCCACAUUGGGACUGAGAUACGGCCCAGACUCCUACGGGAGGCAGCAGUGGGGAAUAUUACACAAUGGGCGGAAGCCUGAUGCAGCGACGCCGCGUGGGGGAUGACGGCCUUUGGGUUGUAAACUCCUUUCGACCGCGAGGAAGCCACCUGGUUGGAAGGGUGGUGACGGUAGUGGUAGAAGAAGCACCGGCUAACUACGUG
rnacentral:rRNA from 1 species